rnacentral:lncRNA from 1 species
GGAGGUGGACGUGGAUGACGAGGACGAUGACGACGAUGAUGAAGGAGGGAUGGAGGAGGACGUUGCUUGGUUGCCGGCUCCGGUAAUGUUCUGAGACACGUUGAUGGUGGAGGAGGAAGACGAGUAGGAGGAUGCAGGCGGCAAUGACGAGGAGGACGGCGGCGGCAAUGUCGAGGAGGAGGAGUACGGGGGCGGCAAUGAUGAGGAAGAGGAGUACGGCGGCGGCAAAGACGAGGAGGAUGAUUGGUUGCCAGCUGUGGUAAUGUUCUGAGACGUGCUGAUGUCGGACGAGGGUGACGACGAGGAUGGCGGCAACGGAGAGGACGAGGAGGUGGUCGGAUUGCCAGUUCCAGUAUUGUCGUAGGAGUUUGAUGAG